AACCAACGCUGGCGGCGUGCCUAAUACAUGCAAGUCGAACGGGGAAAGCUUUCGGGUGAGUACUAGUGGCGCACGGGUGAGGAACGCGUGGAUAAUCUGCCUUAGAGUGGGGGAUAACUAGUCGAAAGAUUAGCUAAUACCGCAUAAGACCACGAGAGCUGCGGCUUUUGAGGUCAAAGGUUUUUCGCUCUAAGAUGAGUCCGCGUAAGAUUAGCUAGUUGGUGAGGUAACGGCUCACCAAGGCGACGAUCUUUAACUGGUCUGAGAGGAUGAUCAGUCACACUGGAACUGAGACACGGUCCAGACUCCUACGGGAGGCAGCAGUAGGGAAUAGUGCAAAAUGGAGGAAACUCUGAUGCAGCGACGCCGCGUGAGUGAUGAAGGCCUUCGGGUCGUAAAGCUCUGUCGCAGGGGAAUAACACAAUGAAGGUACCCUGUAAGAAAGGAUCGGCUAACUUCGUG
rnacentral:rRNA from 1 species